rnacentral:rRNA from 1 species
UACGUAGGCAGCAAGCGUUGUUCGGAAUUACUGGGCGUAAAGAGUGUGUAGGCGGUGUUCUAAGUUUGUCGUGAAAUCUCCCGGCUUAACUGGGAGGGUGCGGCGAAAACUGGAAUGCUAGAGGAUGGGAGAGGUAAGCGGAAUUCCUGGUGUAGCGGUGAAAUGCGCAGAUAUCAGGAGGAACACCGGUGGCGAAGGCGGGUCUCUGGGCCGAUACUGACGCUGAGGAGCGAAAGCGUGGGGAGCGAACAGG